rnacentral:rRNA from 1 species
AGCGAACGCUGGCGGCAGGCCUAACACAUGCAAGUCGAACGGAUCCUUCGGGAUUAGUGGCGGACGGGUGAGUAACACGUGGGAACGUGCCCUUUGGUUCGGAACAACUCAGGGAAACUUGAGCUAAUACCGGAUGUGCCCUUCGGGGGAAAGAUUUAUCGCCAUUGGAGCGGCCCGCGUCUGAUUAGCUAGUUGGUGAGGUAACGGCCCACCAAGGCGACGAUUAGUAGCUGGUCUGAGAGGAUGAUCAGCCACACUGGGACUGAGACACGGCCCAGACUCCUACGGGAAGCAGCAGUGGGGAAUCUUGCGCAAUGGGCGAAAGCCUGACGCAGCCAUGCCGCGUGAAUGAUGAAGGUCUUAGGAUUGUAAAAUUCUUUCAGCGGGGACGAUAAUGACGGUACCCGCAGAAGAAGCUCCGGCUAACUUCGUG